CUGAUGACAAAGUGUGGAGGAGGGGAUGGAUGGAUGGAUGGAUGUGACCGACAUGGAUGGAGUCGCACCAACUUGAGAAAGAGAGAGAGAGAUGGAGACGUGCCACCCACUCGCACCACAUGGCCUGCCGUUGCCUCCUUCCCUUCCCCCUCAACCAACACUUUCGUGUACCAAAUUGGACCGCCCAACUAAUUCAAUAUGGGACCAUCACAUACAAAUCAUCUCAUCUCUCUCUCUCUCUCUCUCUCUGCGUCAAAGCUGGCUACAUGUCCAUCAGCUUUCACUGGCUGACAGACCAAUUCAAAGCAGGAAUGGCUGGCUGGGCUGUGGUGUGGUGGCACGCUGAAGAAGAACAGUAGGUAGCUAAGCACCAUGGCAUUGCUCUCUUUUGUGAGUGACAAUGACAAUGGAAUCCCAUUGCUGGUGGAAUUCAUGAAGCCAACAAGUAAUGUACUACUAGUGUCAUGGUGGUUGCAUGUUGAGAAUAAUAUACUUGUUGUUGUUGGCAGUGUCAUCGCACUGUUUAAGCAACGAUGAUUGGCAGUGCCAACUACUUUUAAUAAGUUGUAUGGGGUUUUCGUAAAGCAUCAUCACUAAUUGGAUGAUUGAUUCUUUUGGCUUA